rnacentral:rRNA from 1 species
AGGACGAACGCUGGCGGCACGCUUAACACAUGCAAGUCGAACGGAGAAUAUUGGUUACUGAGUAUUCUUAGUGGCGGACGGGUGAGUAACACGUGAGCAACCUGCCUUUGAGAGAGGGAUAGCUUCUGGAAACGGAUGGUAAUACCUCAUAACAUAACGAAGCCGCAUGACUUUGUUAUCAAAGAUUUAUCACUCAAAGAUGGGCUCGCGUCUGAUUAGAUAGUUGGUGAGGUAACGGCUCACCAAGUCGACGAUCAGUAGCCGGACUGAGAGGUUGAACGGCCACAUUGGGACUGAGACACGGCCCAGACUCCUACGGGAGGCAGCAGUGGGGAAUAUUGCACAAUGGGGGAAACCCUGAAUGCAGCGAUGCCGCGUGGAGGAAGAAGGUUUUCGGAUUGUAAACUCCUGUCUUAAAGGACGAUAAUGACGGUACUUUAGGAGGAAGCUCCGGCUAACUACGUGCCAGCCGCUGC